rnacentral:precursor_RNA from 1 species
CAGAAUCAUCACAGUAGAACCACAAAGGAUAGAAACCUUUUGUGUUUUGUUCAUAAACUUUAUCGCAAUAAGCUUUAUCAAACACAGGAUAGAAACCUGAGAGGGACCUUUCCUGUUCGAAAGAUUCAUCUCAAACCAAACAGAAAUCUGAGAAAUAGGUGAGAGGGACCUUUCGCUUCAAUUGGAGAGCGUCAGACUCCGAAGGAUCUGAGUGCUUAAAGUCACUUCUAAUAUUGUUUGUUGGUUGUUAGAAGUUGUAAUAAAUACGAAAAGAAGAGAGGCAAAGGAAAAAAAAAAAAAACAGCAAAUAACAGGGCAUUUGCUGCAACACCCAAACACAUUCCUGCAACACUCAAAUAAACACUUUCAUUAUUAUUUAGUGAUAACAUGGCAUUAUCAUAUAACGAAAAUGUCAUUUCCAUUUAAUUGACAGCCAAAUGGGAAGCAGUCCAAAGAAAGCGCAAUCAGGUUGAUGUUUUUCACAGCCAAAAUCUGCAAAAAAAAAAAAAAUCAGUCAAAGAAUCUAUAACUAGUCCUAAGUUUGAGAUUAAUGGAAGAUGCAAAAAUCUAUGGUAAGUGCAGGCUGUACUUGGCCAUCAGGAAACUCCGCUUCGUAAACAGAACCAAGAGAUCCAUCUCCGAGAAGAUUCUCUUCGUUGAAGCUGUUUGUAGCUGAUUGAAGCUCUGCCACAGUAUAAAGUGUUGUUCUUGCUGGGAGCCUGCAUCUUUUUGGGAAACUUCUUCUUCUAGACUUUUUCUAGGUCCUGGCAUGGUAAACAGGAGAUAUCCGCCUUGGACAAUGACCGUGUGGAGAGCUCAAAGACAAGCUUUGUGGGGUUUCUUCUCGAGCAGUUGAAUCGUCUAUUGUCAAGGAAAAACAAAGGAAACAGGAAAAAAAAAUCAUUAAUAAUUAAUCCAUGAGACAAGCAUGCUAAGCUCUGCAGUAAAAGAAAUGAAUUGAAACACAUCCAAAUGGUAAUCCAUUUUCGUGACUUUGGUCUCAAGUAGAAACUCCAUUUCUGAGAAAGUAUAUUCACAUGACAACAUGAUAUAAAUUUAAAUGUGACUAUGUGAGAAGAUGAACAAAAUGAAACAAGGACUCCAUUGAUAUGAAUUAGGGGCUCCAACAAGAACAAAAUGAACCACAUCAAUACAUUCUAUGCACUAAUAAACAUAUUUUUUUCUAGCAUGUUUCUCUUUCUUUAGCUUGACUAAACCCCUAAUAAAAAUAAAUAAAUAAAUAAAUUGCUACUGCGAAAAGGAAAAACAUGAUCAGCACAUAUCCAAACGAAAAGUAAGAAAAAGUUGAAAAGAACAGAAAAGAAGCACAUUUUGCCUAUAUAAGGAGUUGUGGAGGUGUUUCAAAGUCGCUGAAUUGGUAAUCUUGAAAAGCUCCUCCUUAAGGAGGGUCUCCAAUUCAGCAACUUUCAAAACCUCCACAACUCCAACAGCACCGGAACCUUUACAUCAGCUCUUGCUCUUCUUCUUCUUUGAAUGUCGUCGACGGCGAUGGCGCUCCUCCCCGGAGAAAUCUCUCUUUUUCACUCCUUUUUCGAUUCCUUUCACUUUCUUUCGCUCUUCCUCAUCUUCCACUGGAUUUGGGGCAUCAACUCUUCCUUAUUACUCUGUUCGCAGAGGGAUAAUAUAUAGUGAAUUUUUCGACCCUUCUAUGUACGUGAUGAUGACUCUUGA